rnacentral:rRNA from 1 species
GACGAACGCUGGCGGUGUGCUUAACACAUGCAAGUCGAGCGGUAAGGCCCUUUCGGGGGUCCACGAGUGGCGAACGGGUGAGUAACACGUGAGUAACCUGCCCUCAUCUCUGGGAUAACAGUCGGAAACGGUUGCUAAUACUGGAUAUGAGCCUGCAAGGCAUCUUGUGGGUUGGAAAGAUUUUUUGGUUGGGGAUGGACUCGCGGCCUAUCAGCUUGUUGGUGAGGUAGUGGCUCACCAAGGCUUCGACGGGUAGCCGGCCUGAGAGGGCGACCGGCCACAUUGGGACUGAGAUACGGCCCAAACUCCUACGGGAGGCAGCAGUGGGGAAUAUUGCACAAUGGACGGAAGUCUGAUGCAGCAACGCCGCGUGCGGGAUGACGGCCUUCGGGUUGUAAACCGCUUUCAAUUGUGACGAAGCUUUUUGUGACGGUAGCAGUAGAAGAAGCACCGGCUAACUACGUG